GGCCAGCAUCGAGAGUUGGGGGCGACGCCCCAACGCCAACCUGCCGGUUUCCGGGCAAGGUGGCGCUCCCUGACGGGAGGAUGUGGCCGAUCCGGCAACCAAGCGGAGCAAG
rnacentral:ncRNA from 2 species